GUGCUUAGAGAUUUGGGGGUAAGCCCAGUGAUGCUGCUUAUGUGGGCUGUCCAAGCUGGGUGGUAACCAAUCCCAGCAUUGAAUGUGCUGAGAGCCGGACCGGUGGAUGUCCCCAUUGCCCUGAGGCAGGUCCAGGAGAAGGCUCCUACUUGCUGUGCAGAAGACAAGGUAACUCUUGUCCUUGAUCUACAGCCAGAAGACAGCAGGGCUGCUUCUCUCUGCAUCCCAGCCUCCACUCUUCUCUAGAUACCAUCACCACCGUGACAACUGCAGUUAACACUUAGUGAAGACCCCUAGGGCCAUGUGCCCCUGCGAUGCCCACAGAUGCCUCUGAGCUCACGGCUGUGAGAGGCUCCUAACUGCACCCACCCCCGAUCAGCCAAAGCCAGUUACUCCACGUCCAAGACACAGGCAUGUUAAAAUGUAAACUGCCGUUCAUCAUCCGGCAGCGUGACUGUUUGCCUCCAUCAGGCCCCAGUCCGGCCUCAGCACGCCUCCACGCUCUCCUCAGCGUCAAAGAAACAGCCUCGUCCUGCCAGGGCCUUCGCCAGGCCUGGCCCGGGAAGUCAGGGCUCCCUGACCCGAUGGAGCGAAUCGUUGUGAGCAUUUAUUUAAUAGCAUUAUCUUGAUGAUGAAUAAAUCACACCUUCAUGAACCAUU